rnacentral:tRNA from 1 species
CUUAGCUCAGUUGGUUAGAGCGUCGGAUUGUGGUUCCGAAGGUCGUGGGUUCGACCCCCACA